AAUUCGACCUCAGCGUAGUAAGAUUACCCGCUGAACUUAAGCAUAUCAAUAAGCGGAGGAAAAGAAACCAACAGGGAUUGCCCUAGUAAUGGCGAAUGAACAGGCAAAAGCUCAGAUUUGAAACCCUCGGGAUUGUAAUCUGGAGACCUGGAUUUGGCACGCUGACCAAGUCUUCUGGAACGGAGCGCCAUGGAGGGUGACAGCCCCGUAGCAGCAGCCGCAGUAAAUCCGGGUCGACGAGUCGAGUUGUUUGGGAAUGCAGCUCUAAGUGGGUGGUAUGCUCCAUCUAAAGCUAAAUAUUGGCGAGAGACCGAUAGCGAACAAGUACUGUGAAGGAAAGAUGAAAAGAACUUUGAAAAGAGAGUGAAAAAGUACGUGAAAUUGUUGAAAUGGAAGGCAAUGAGGUGCGAUUGACCCGGACGUUUGCGGGCAGCACAAAAGCGCAGGCCGCCUCGGCAUUGCCUGCGUGCAUACUGCCUCGCGGACCACCGGUUCUAACAACGCCUUAUUGCACCCGUCUUGAAACACGGACCAAGGAGUCUAUUGCCUAUGCGAGUGUUUGGGUGGCAAACCCAUACGCGCAGUGAAAGCACACGGUUCGAACCUUACGGGGGCAGAACCGGCCGAACUCUCCAGGGAGUAUUGAGCAAGCAGAGGUGAUGGGACCCGAAAGAUGGUGAACUAUGCCUGAAUAGGGUGAAGCCAGAGGAAACUCUGGUGGAGGCUCGCAGCGGUUCUGACGUGCAAAUCGAUCGUCGAAUUUG
rnacentral:misc_RNA from 1 species